rnacentral:lncRNA from 1 species
CUUGGGUUCAGCAUCUUUGUCUGCAAAACAGGAUUAUUUCUCACUGGAACCAAGCUUUCUGGGAAUGAGGAUAUGACAGUCACCCUCUCAGAUGGCACUAAAUGAUCCCUCUCUCCUGGUAUCUGCAGUCUGUGUAAUCUCCCUUUCAGCUUGGCGUGAAUGAAUUGAUUCGCUUCCCAUAAGUGGAAUAGGACAGAAAUGAUGAGAUAUCACUUCCAAGACUGAGUCAUAAGAAGAAGUCAGUUUCCCGCUUGGAUGCUUGCUCUCCUGCUCUAAGGGGAUCCAGCUACCACGUCCUGAGCUGCCCACUGGAGAUACUAACAUGACAAGGCACUGAGGGUGACCAGUAGCCUGAAGCCCCCAAGGAACUGAAUCCUGCCAGUAGUCAUAUGACUGAGC